GAACGGCUCAUUAAAACAGUUGGAAUUUGCUCGAACUUGAUUCCUAAACGGAUAUCUGCGAUAAAUUUGGAGCUAAUACGUGCGCCAAGCAUCUGCUCUCUGAGUGGAUGGCACUUAUUUACCGAAGACUAAACGGGCCUCGGUCCGCUUUGGUGACUCUGAAUAAUUUCGCUGACCGCACGGUUUUAAACCGGCGGCGUUUCGAUCGACCGACUGACCUAUCAACUAUCGUUGGAAGUCUAUGUGGCUACCAAGGUGGUGACGGGUAACGGAGAAUAAGGGUUCGACUCCGGAGAGGGAGCCUGAGAAACGGCUACCACAUCCAAGGAAGGCAGCAGGCGCGUAAAUUACCCACUCUCAAUGCGAGGAGGUAGUGACUAUCAAUAACGAGACAGAUCUCUAUGAGGCCUGUUAUCGGAAUGGGUACAAUGUAAACC
rnacentral:rRNA from 1 species